ACCCUGCACCCCGUGAUGAUAGCCUAGGAGCAGAGGAGCGCCGCCUCCCUUCUCCCUGUUCUGCGCCCCCACGUCCGCCGCGAUCGGCAACCCUCGCGGCCCUGCCUCCGGCGCCGCUUGCACCCUCGCGCGGCCGUCCACUGUGCCGCCCUUCCGCCCUUAUCGCCCGCCUCGCGCCACGUCGAUGACGUCCACCCAGCGCCACUUCGCCCACGCACGUCUCCCGGCCCUACGCCCCGGUACCCGUGAGCCACAUCCUGCCGCCGCACUGGCGUUCUUGAACCAGCAGCUCGCCGCUGGUAGCCCCUGCCCUGCAUCCUCGACCUCCAGGGCGCAUAGCAUCUAAGUACAUCUAACUAAACGUGAGACCAUCUCAUACCUCUACAUAAGAAAUGCUCUCCAGUAGCAGCUUCAACUUAGAGGAGAGGUUGAUCAGCGGAAUUAUAAGAGAGGUUCCUUCUACAUUCAGUUUGGUUGCUGAAGAUGGCACACUUGACCCGUUUCUCCUUCAGCCUAUGUGCUCCGAUUUAGUCAAGUUUAUGGACAAGAUGAUAUAUACUGCCAGUUUGUUUCUUGUAUAGGCAGUGAGACAUGUUUCAGUUUGAAAUUCUUCAACCUUCAGCCUGUGUGUUUUCAUCUAGUCAAGCUUAUGGACAAAGAUGAUACAUAUUGCCUGUUUGUUCAUUGUGUUGAUAGUGAGACAUGUUCCAGUUCGAAA